AAAGUACUCCUUCCAUCCAACAAAAGAUGUCACAAGUUUGUCAAAAUUUGAAUGUAUCUAAACAUGACUUAGUAUAUAAAUGCGUUCAAAUUUGGUCAAAGUUGAGACAUCUUUGUUGGACGAAGAGAGUACAAC
rfam:Brachypodium distachyon strain Bd21 chromosome 3, whole genome shotgun sequence.